rnacentral:rRNA from 1 species
CGAAUGCUGACAUAAGUAACGAUAAAGCGGGUGAAAAGCCCGCUCGCCGGAAGACCAAGGGUUCCUGUCCAACGUUAAUCGGGGCAGGGUGAGUCGACCCCUAAGGCGAGGCCGAAAGGCGUAGUCGAUGGGAAACAGGUUAAUAUUCCUGUACUUGGUGUUACUGCGAAGGGGGGACGGAGAAGGCUAUGUUGGCCGGGCGACGGUUGUCCCGGUUUAAGCGUGUAGGCUGGUUUUCCAGGCAAAUCCGGAAAAUCAAGGCUGAG